GGAAAUUUUCUUUAUAAGAACAUUUCAAGGCCCAGAUAAUAAAAAUACUUCAGGCAAUACGUAGUAAAUCUUUCAAUUUAAAUAAUAGCAUAGAAUCCUUUUCAUAAAUAUUACUGUACAUUAUAUUUAUUACUUUACUAUGAGAGAAGAGAAAAUUAGUAAUAUAAAUAUUAAACGCCAAUCAUCAAAAUUAAUGUUUACCACAGAUUAUUAUUUACAAAAAUAAUGUAAAUCGGCAAAAUCAAUUCAUUUAAUAUAAAUUACAUUUCCAGCAUUUAAUUAUUUUUAAAAUGAGAAGUAGCAAUUUUAAUUCAACGUAUUCAAGUGUUCAUUCAGCUAAGGGAACAAAAUA
rnacentral:lncRNA from 1 species